UGAGUUUGAUCAUGGUUCAGGACGAACGCUGGCGGCACGCUUAACACAUGCAAGUCGAACGAGGUUUUAAGAGCUUGCUUUUAAAACCGAGUGGCGGACGGGUGAGUAACACGUGAGCAAUCUGCCUUUCAGAGGGGAAUACCAGUUGGAAACGACUGUUAAUACCGCAUAAAAUAUAUUUGCCGCAUGACGAAUAUAUCAAAGAUUUUAUCGCUGAAAGAUGAGCUCGCGUCUGAUUAGAUAGUUGGUGAGGUAACGGCCCACCAAGUCAACGAUCAGUAGCCGGACUGAGAGGUUGAUCGGCCACAUUGGGACUGAGACACGGCCCAGACUCCUACGGGAGGCAGCAGUGGGGAAUAUUGCACAAUGGGCGCAAGCCUGAUGCAGCGAUGCCGCGUGAGGGAAGAAGGUUUUCGGAUUGUAAACCUCUGUUGACAGGGAAGAUAAUGACUGUACCUGUUCAGAAAGCUCCGGCUAACUACGUGCCAGCAGCCGCGGUAAUACGUAGGGAGCGAGCGUUGUCCGGAAUUACUGGGUGUAAAGGGAGUGUAGGCGGGACUGUAAGUCAGAUGUGAAAUUUAGGGGCUCAACCCCUGACCUGCAUUUGAAACUGCGGUUCUUGAGUGAAGUAGAGGUAAGCGGAAUUCCUAGUGUAGCGGUGAAAUGCGUAGAUAUUAGGAGGAACAUCAGUGGCGAAGGCGGCUUACUGGGCUUUAACUGACACUGAGGCUCGAAAGCGUGGGGAGCAAACAGGAUUAGAUACCCUGGUAGUCCACGCUGUAAACGAUGAUUACUAGGUGUGGGGGGACUGACCCCUUCCGUGCCGCAGUUAACACAAUAAGUAAUCCACCUGGGGAGUACGGUCGCAAGACUGAAACUCAAAGGAAUUGACGGGGGCCCGCACAAGCAGUGGAGUAUGUGGGUUAAUUCGAAGCAACGCGAAGAACCUUACCAGGUCUUGACAUCGAACGAAUUCUGUAGAGAUACGGAAGUGCCCUUCGGGGAGCGUGAAGACAGGUGGUGCAUGGUUGUCGUCAGCUCGUGUCGUGAGAUGUUGGGUUAAGUCCCGCAACGAGCGCAACCC
rnacentral:rRNA from 1 species